UCAAUUAUAUAGAAUUUUAGCCCAAAAAUGAAUUCUUGAAAGGGGCCCAAUUUUUUUAAGCCCAACAAGACCUAAUCCCCUUCUUCUUUAACCCAUAGCCCCCUUCUUCUUCUUCUUCUUCUUCUUCUUCUUCUUCAAGAGACAACAUGAAAGAACCCUAGCUAGAUGAUCUUCUUCUCAACCUUAAUACACAUAAGGAGACAAGAACUAAAAACCUUGGACACUAGAGAAGCCGCCGCCGCCCCUAUCGCCGGACUCCAGCCGUUACCAUAACUUCCUCAACCUUAGCACACCAAAGAACCAACGGCACAACAGAUCUCUAAACCAAAAAGAAGCAGAUCGGUGCCCUCCCCCUGCCUCUAAUCUCCAAGACUUUAGAACCUAACACAUACAAGAACACCAGCGAUUGUAUCAUCUCCUUCACAUUACUGCCGCCGCCGGCCAGCUCAUCUUCAGCCUCACCAGUCCGCCGUCGGUGACUCUCAACCAGAACACCAGCCCCGUCGCCAUUAACCAAACGCCCACCCAUUCCUUUUCCAACAAAACACAUACACACACGCACGCACAUCAUGGGUAAAGAAAUUUUCGUCUAGCUUGACGGAAAUUUGGUAGAGAAAGGAUUUUCUUUUAGUUUCUGAUACUCCGCUUCAGCUCUUCGCAUAAAAAAAUGGAAUCAGUUUCUUUAAAGUUUUAGUUUUCCUUCAAAAUCAGAAAACACAAAAAUACGGCUGUUCGUGGCUGCUGUUCGGGUUCAUGUUUGAGGUUUCGGUCCGAGUUACGAUUCCUGCUGUUGCGUUGUAGUUCUUUACUUCAGAGUUUGUUGCAAAUCUGCGUUAAAUUCCUUGCAAAAUCCAUAUAAGUUGGCUCGUUGAGGUAUGGAGCAAUUUGCUAAAGUUUGAACAUGACAAAAUACCCCAGGACCAUUCUAGUCAAGACCAUUGCAUGCACGAGCUGCUUGAGGAAACUUUUUAUUUUUUUCCUCUAUUUUAUGUUGUCUUUUAAUUAUUAGUCUUGUACCGUAGUAUCGAAUCUGUCAGUCUAGUAAAGAUUUUCUAGUCUUUUGUUAUCAUACUUCCUAUGAUGUAUUUGAAAACCAAAAAAAGUUUAUAUAUGAAAAGUUCAAAAAGAUUUUUGUUUCUUAGUU